GGAGGAGAUGCUAGUUGGGAAUGAUGUGUGCCAGGAGCUCCUGCUGUGGAUAGCCUCCAGCCUGUGCCAGAGGGGAGUGGAGAUGUGGAUCACAGCCUUGAGCCCCAGGGAGCGGCUGGUGCUGGGGAACUAAGAGAUCCCAAUGUCUCCUGGACUACAACGCCCGAGAUUGUGGUUGGUUGCUUGACAUUUAAAAGUCAACACUUGCACCAGAUACCGGAGUACUACCUGAGAGAUGAGUGACCUCUGCUGCCCCUCCUUUGCACUCUGAUGGUGACCAUGAUACUCAGAAGUGGCCUCAGGUGUCUUCACAACCAUUAUCAAAGGGAGGAACAAGAAGCGGUGAGAAGUAAAGGAAAAAUUACAUGGCCUGCAGAGCCACACUGAGGAAAGUCUACAGGUACCUCAAGUAAUACCUGGCCAAGAAUACUUUCCCCAUGGAGACUGCAAUCGUGCCCAGCACACAAGUACUCACUUCUGUUGACCAAAACAGUUUUGAAGCGUCAACAUUUUCAUACACUUUGCAACUCUCCAAGACAAUUUUGUAACAAAAACAAAUCUAAAUACUGCAAGUAUUUACUAUGACAAAACUCAAUAGGACUUAAAAACCAGUUCUUAUUUAAGAGAUUCCAGAGAAACUAUUAUAAUGAGUUCAUUAGAAAUAAAAAUAAACACAAUGGCCGCCAUUUAAAAAGUAACCAUCUGCCAACUGUUCAAACUCAACUGUAUCUGGCAUGCCAGACCUUUCCUCCUCCUUAGGUAAUAACAGUGAUAUCUGUGCAGUAACUAGGAACUUUUUUCUUUUAAUAUUGACCAUUAAUUUACAAUUGCACUGGUUCACGAGAAAAAUUUAACUACAGACAAUUCUACUCCAUCAAUGUAUCAAAUAUGAACAAUAGGCCUGAUGUUCAGUUGUGUCAAACCUCUUUGUUUAGAGAGCAAAAAGGAUGAAAAGCAGCCAGAUCAGUGGGGGGGAAUCUGCAGCUGCUCAGAGCUGGCAUAGCUACCCCCUGUGUUCCUCUCUCAGCCCUGGCAAAGCACAGUGCAUGGGGGACAGUGGAGGCUACAUGCUGGCUCUGUUCAGCUGGCAUGUGGUCCCUUAGGGACCAUCAGACCUGACUUCUCUAAUUUAUGCUGGGGCCCAGCUGGUGGAGAUACAACCUGAGAAUCAGGAAGGCAUAGUCUAUUUCCCAAAACUUCUAUCCCAUGCUAUGAUGAGAAGCUCAGCACAGCAGAGAAUCUCCACCAAUAAUUCACCUACAUGUAUAUGCUGUGUAUGAAUUUACUGCUGCUUUUGUGGUUAAGAUGUGCAUUAACCCUUGCAAUAAAAACAUUGUAUUAUGCCACUCUAAUAUUAUGGAUUACAAUAAUGCUGUUACAGUAUUUUGGAUUAUUCUAGAAUCUAUAAUCAUAUGUAAACUAAGCACAGCUGUGCUUAAAAAAGCUAAGGUUAAAGUCAAGCAGUCAAAUUAGGAAAUGGCAUAAUUAAGCUUGCCUAUGCAAUCUUAAUUUGGUCCCAUUGUGUAUGCAUUAUGAUAGUCUUUAAUUACAUGGCUGUAUCAAAUGCACAAGAGGGGAAAAGUAAAGUUUUUACAGGCAACCUUAAUUUUAGUAUUUCCCAGCUUUUGAGUGCUUGACUUCACAGCCUUAAUUUUCUUCACAUUGUAUGCAAUUGCUUAUUUAAUUUAAAUAAAAGCAAGGAAAACUG